UACGUAGGCAGCGAGCGUUGUUCGGAGUUACUGGGCGUAAAGGGUGUGUAGGCGGUUUUCUAAGUUUGGUGUGAAAUCUCCCGGCUCAACCGGGAGGGUGCGCCGAAAACCUGGAAGACUAGAGUGCGGGAUGGGAGAGUAGAAUUCCGUGGUGUAGCGGUGAAAUGCGUAGAUAUACAGGAGGAAUACCGGUGGCGAAGGCGGCAUCCUGGACCACGACUGACACUGAAAGCGAAAGCCAGG
rnacentral:rRNA from 1 species